UACGAAGGGUGCAAGCGUUACUCGGAAUUACUGGGCGUAAAGCGUGCGUAGGUGGUUCGUUAAGUCUGAUGUGAAAGCCCUGGGCUCAACCUGGGAAUUGCAUUCGAGACUGCAUGGCUAGGAUGCGGAAGAGGGAAGCGGAAUUUCCGGUGUAGCGGUGAAAUGCGUAGAUAUCGGAAGGAACACCAGUGGCGAAAGCGGCUUCCUGGUCCAGCAUCGACGUUCAGGCACGAAAGCGUGGGGAGCAAACAGGG
rnacentral:rRNA from 1 species